UGUAUAAUGGGUCAGCGACUUAUAUUCUGUAGCAAGGUUAACCGAAUAGGGGAGCCGAAGGGAAACCGAGUCUUAACUGGGCGUUAAGUUGCAGGGUAUAGACCCGAAACCCGGUGAUCUAGCCAUGGGCAGGUUGAAGGUUGGGUAACACUAACUGGAGGACCGAACCGACUAAUGUUGAAAAAUUAGCGGAUGACUUGUGGCUGGGGGUGAAAGGCCAAUCAAACCGGGAGAUAGCUGGUUCUCCCCGAAAGCUAUUUAGGUAGCGCCUCGUGAAUUCAUCUCCGGGGGUAGAGCACUGUUUCGGCAAGGGGGUCAUCCCGACUUACCAACCCGAUGCAAACUGCGAAUACCGGAGAAUGUUAUCACGGGAGACACACGGCGGGUGCUAACGUCCGUCGUGAAGAGGGAAACAACCCAGACCGCCAGCUAAGGUCCCAAAGUCAUGGUUAAGUGGGAAACGAUGUGGGAAGGCCCAGACAGCCAGGAUGUUGGCUUAGAAGCAGCCAUCAUUUAAAGAAAGCGUAAUAGCUCACUGGUCGAGUCGGCCUGCGCGGAAGAUGUAACGGGGCUAAACCAUGCACCGAAGCUGCGGCAGCGACGCUUAUGCGUUGUUGGGUAGGGGAGCGUUCUGUAAGCCUGCGAAGGUGUGCUGUGAGGCAUGCUGGAGGUAUCAGAAGUGCGAAUGCUGACAUAAGUAACGAUAAAGCGGGUGAAAAGCCCGCUCGCCGGAAGACCAA
rnacentral:rRNA from 1 species